UCACCUAGCCAACUGACGUUGUUAGUGAACGCAUUUUUGUUCACAGAUAUAUAUAGCCAAUCCCCACUUAUUUUGGGAUUGGCUUUUUUCUU
rnacentral:sRNA from 1 species